rnacentral:tRNA from 1 species
GGUAUGACUAGCUUAGUGGUAGAGCCUUAGAGUACAAAUCCGGAGACCGUAGGUUCAAAUCCCACCGGCUGUCG